rnacentral:misc_RNA from 1 species
UUUCCGUAGGUGAACCUGCGGAGGGAUCGUUACUGAGUGAGGGCCCCUCGGGGUCCAACCUCCCACCCGUGUUUAACGAACCUUGUUGCUUCGGCGGGCCCGCCUCACGGCCGCCGGGGGGCAUCUGCCCCCGGGCCCGCGCCCGCCGAAGCCACCUGUGAACGCUGUCUGAAGUAUGCAGUCUGAGACAAUUAUUAAAUUAAUUAAAACUUUCAACAACGGAUCUCUUGGUUCCG